UCGAACGGAUCCUUCGGGAUUAGUGGCGGACGGGUGAGUAACACGUGGGAACGUGCCUUUAGGUUCGGAACAACACAGGGAAACUUGUGCUAAUACCGGAUGUGCCCUUCGGGGGAAAGAUUUAUCGCCUUUAGAGCGGCCCGCGUCUGAUUAGCUUGUUGGUGAGGUAAAGGCUCACCAAGGCUACGAUCAGUAGCUGGUCUGAGAGGAUGGCCAGCCACAUUGGGACUGAGACACGGCCCAAACUCCUACGGGAGGCAGCAGUGGGGAAUCUUGCGCAAUGGGCGAAAGCCUGACGCAGCCAUGCCGCGUGGAUGAUGAAGGUCUUAGGAUUGUAAAAUCCUUUC
rnacentral:rRNA from 1 species